AACGCGAAGAACCUUACCUGGGCUCGAAAUGUAGUGGACCGGGGUGGAAACAUCCCUUUUCGCAAGAACUGCUAUAUAGGUGCUGCAUGGCUGUCGUCAGCUCGUGUCGUGAGAUGUUGGGUUAAGUCCCGCAACGAGCGCAACCCUUAUUGCCAGUUGCCAUCAUUAAGUUGGGCACUCUGGCGAAACCGCCCCGGAUAACGGGGAGGAAGGUGGGGAUGACGUCAAGUCCUCAUGGCCUUUAUGUCCAGGGCUACACACGUGCUACAAUGGGUGGUACAAACCGUCGCAAACCCGCGAGGGGGAGCUAAUCGGAAAAAGCCAUCCUCAGUUCGGAUUGCAGUCUGCAACUCGACUGCAUGAAGCCGGAAUCGCUAGUAAUGGCGUAUCAGAUCGACGCCGUGAAUACGUUCCCGGGUCUUGUACACACGC
rnacentral:rRNA from 1 species